rnacentral:rRNA from 1 species
AUGGGAUGGUAGGAAAGGCAACUUUCAACAGGAGGAAAGGAAGUGCCACUCAAAUCUAUUGUACGGGCUAUACCAUCUUAUGCAAUGUCGGUUUUCAAAAUUCCAAAACAGAUUUGUAAAGGAAUUACAGACGCAAGUCAUUAUUGGUGGGGUGAUGGUGACAAUCAGAGGAAAAUGAACUGGUCCCUGUGGUGGAAGUUAUGUGUGCCAAAAAAAGAAGGUGAAAUGGGAUUUCAAGAUAUUCAUUGUUUUAACCUAGCCCUGCUUGCGAAAUAGGCUUGGAGAUUAAUUGAUAAUCCGGAUUCCCUUUAUGCACGUGUUCUCAAAGCCCAAUAUUAUCCAAAUUGUGAUAUUUUGGAUGCAACUCAAAGAGAGCCUCAUUCACAUGUCAAAAUAUUAUGUCAGGGGUGUAGACACUAA